UUAUCGUUCUAAGUGAGUGACGUCACACUGCCAAGAAAAGCUUCUAGUUAGAAUCAGACCGCCCGUACCGCAAACCGACACAGGUAGUCGGGUCGAGAAGACCAAGGUGAGCGAGAGAACUCUCGUUAAGGAACUCGGCAAAAUGACCCCGUAACUUCGGGAGAAGGGGUGCUGAUCGCAAGAUCAGCCGCAGUGAAUAGGCCCAGGCGACUGUUUAUCAAAAACACAGGUUUCUGCAAAAUCGUAAGAUGAAGUAUAGGGGCUGACGCCUGCCCGGUGCUGGAAGGUUAAGAGGAUGGGUUAGCGCAAGCGAAGCUCAGAAUUGAAGCCCCAGUAAACGGCGGCCGUAACAAUAACGGUCCUAAGGUAGCGAAAUUCCUUGUCGGGUAAGUUCCGACCCGCCCGAAAGGCGUAACGAUCUGGGCACUGUCUCAACGAGAGACUCGGUGAAAUUAUAAUACCCGUGAAGAUGCGGGUUACCCGCGACAGGACGGAAAGACCCCAUGGAGCUUUACUGUAGCUUGAUAUUGGGUGUUUGUACAACUUGUACAGGAUAGGUAGGAGCCGUAGAAGUCGGGACGCUAGUUUCGACGGAGGCAUCGGUGGGAUACUACCCUCGUUGUAUGAACACUCUAACCCACGCCGGCAAUCACGGCGGGAGACAGUGUCAGGUGGGCAGUUUGACUGGGGCGGUCGCCUCCUAAAAGGUAACGGAGGCGCCCAAAGGUUCCCUCAGAAUGGUUGGAAAUCAUUCGCAGAGUGUAAAGGCAUAAGGGAGCUUGACUGCGAGACCUACAAGUCGAGCAGGGACGAAAGUCGGGCUUAGUGAUCCGGUGGUUCCGCAUGGAAGGGCCAUCGCUCAACGGAUAAAAGCUACCCUGGGGAUAACAGGCUUAUCUCCCCCAAGAGUCCACAUCGACGGGGAGGUUUGGCACCUCGAUGUCGGCUCAUCGCAUCCUGGGGCUGUAGUCGGUCCCAAGGGUUGGGCUGUUCGCCCAUUAAAGCGGUACGCGAGCUGGGUUCAGGACGUCGUGAGACAGUUCGGUCCCUAUCCGUCGCGGGCGCAGGAAAUUUGAGAGGAUCUGUCCUUAGUACGAGAGAACCGGGAUGGACAUACCGCUGGUGUACCAGUUGUUCUGCCAAGGGCAUCGCUGGGUAGCUAUGUAUGGAUGAGAUAAACGCUGAAAGCAUCUAAGUGCGAAACUCACCUCGAGAUGAGAUUUCCCACUCCUUUAUGGAGUUAAGACCCCUGAGAGAUGAUCAGGUAGAUAGGAUGGAAGUGGAAGUGCGGCGACGCAUGGAGCGGACCAUUACUAAUCGGUCGAGGACUUAACCG
rnacentral:rRNA from 1 species